GGGGGGGGGGGGGGGGGGGGGGGGGGGGGGCAGGGCGGGCGAGCCUGGCGGGGUGAGUGGCGGAGGGGUGAGUAACGCGGGGGAACGUGCCUUGAUGUUCGGCAUCACUCAGGGAGACUGUUGCUAAUACCUCAUGUUCCCUUCGGGUCAAAGAUUCAUCGCCUUUAGAGCGGCCCGCGUCUGAUUAGCUAGUUGGUUGAGGUAAUGGCUCACCAAGGCGACGAUCAGUAGCUGGUCUGAGAGGAUGAUCAGCCACAUUGGGACUGAGACACGGCCCAAACUCCAACGGGAGGCAGCAGUGGGGAAUCUUGCGCAAUGGGCGAAAGCCUGACGCAGCCAUGCCGCGUGAAUGAUGAAGGUCUUAGGAUUGUAAAAUUCUUUCACCGGGGACGAUAAUGACGGUACCCGGAGAAGAAGCCCCGGCUAACUUCGUG
rnacentral:rRNA from 1 species